rnacentral:rRNA from 1 species
UACGUAGGGUGCAAGCGUUGUCCGGAAUUAUUGGGCGUAAAGAGCUCGUAGGCGGUUUGUUGCGUCGGCUGUGAAAUCCCGAGGCUCAACCUCGGGUCUGCAGUCGAUACGAGCAAACUAGAGUGCGGUAGGGGAGAUUGGAAUUCCUGGUGUAGCGGUGAAAUGCGCAGAUAUCAAGGAGGAACACCGGUGGCGAAGGCGGGGUCUCUGGGCCGAAACUGACGCUGAGGAGCGAAAGCGUGGGGAGCAAACAGG